rnacentral:lncRNA from 1 species
GCGAGGGCACUAGUGGUCAGCAAUAGGUUACCAGGUAACUCUUCCCUUAUCUUAUUUCGAAACAUUGGGGACAAUGUUCGAUUCAAGUGUGGGAGGAGACUCUAUCGUCUUUUCUUUAUUAGCUUUCUCGUUUCUUUUCCUUUAUCGCUUUUUCUUUGGUAUUUUUAGAUAGUUUAUUUCCUUUUAGUUGUUUAUUUUGCUUUUUAGUAUAAUGCAUGAGUCUGACGAGUCACCAAAUAUAGUAGAUCUUUAGUACAAUCCUACCUCCCCAUACCUUUA